CCCUUAGACGUUCUGGGCCGCACGCGCGCUACACUGACCAGUGCAACAAGCAUCCGUCCUUGGCCGACAGGCUCGGGCAAUCUUUGAACGCUGGUCGUGAUGGGGAUAGACUUUUGCAAUUUUUGGUCUUCAACGAGGAGUUCCUAGUAAACGCAAGUCAUCAACUUGCAUUGAUUACGUCCCUGCCCUUUGUACACACCGCCCGUCGCACCUACCGAUUGAAUGGUCCGGUGAAGCCUCCGGAUUGGCGCGCACCUCGGUGCCGCCGAGAAGUUGGCUAAACCUUACCAUUUAGAGGAAGGUGAAGUCGUAACA
rnacentral:rRNA from 1 species